rnacentral:rRNA from 1 species
AGCCAUUCAUUUAAAGAGUGCGUAACAGCUCACUAGUCGAGUGAUCCCGCGUGGAUAAUAAUCGGGCAUAAGUCCGGUACCGAAGCCAUGGAAUCACGCUUAGGGCGUGAUUGGUAGGGGAGCAUUCCGUACAGCGGCGAAGGUCGGUGGCGAUGCCGGCUGGAGCGUACGGAAAAGCAAAUGUAGGUAUAAGUAACGAUAAUGGAGGCGAGAAACCUCCACGCCGAAAGACCAAGGUUUCCUGAUCAACGCUAAUCGGAUCAGGGUAAGUCGGGACCUAAGGGGCAGCCGCGAGGCGGACCCGAUGGAAGAAACGGUAAAGAUUCCGUUACUGUCGCCGGGAGUGAAGCGGGGACGGAGGAGUGACACCGCCGCGGACUGACGGAAUAGUCCGUUGAAGAGUGUAGGUAUUCGGAGGCCAGGCAAAUCCGGUCUCCGAGCUGAACUUGACAGUACUGCGAGCCUUCGGGCAAGCAGACAGCGCGGGUAAGCAGACUCCCAAGAAAAUCCGCUAAACAUAUGUCGGCGACACCCGUACCGCAAACGGACACACGUGGUCGGGUAGAACAUACUAAGGCGCUCGAGAGAUUCACCGUUAAGGAACUAGGCAAAUUGACCUCGUAACUUCGGGAUAAGGGGUCCCACAGCGAUGUGGGCGCAGAGAAUAGGUCCAGGCAACUGUUUAACAAAAACACAGGGCUGUGCGAAAUUUAAAGAUGAAGUAUACAGCCUGACACCUGCCCGGUGCCGGAAGGUUAAGAGGAGAAGUCAUCGCAAGAGAAGCUUUGAAUUGAAGCCCCGGUAAACGGCGGCCGUAACUAUAACGGUCCUAAGGUAGCGAAAUUCCUUGUCGGGUAAGUUCCGACCUGCACGAAUGGUGUAAUGAUCUGGACACUGUCUCAACGGUGAGCUCGGUGAAAUUGUAGUAUCGGUGAAGAUGCCGAUUACCCGCAACGGGACGAAAAGACCCCGUGAACCUUUACUGCAGCUUAGCAUUGGGACCGGGUGCGUGAUGUGUAGGAUAGUCCGGAGACAGCGAAGCGGGGGCGCCAGCCCUCGCGGAGUCGACGUUGAAAUACGGACCUUUGCGCAUCUGGUCUCUAACUCGCGGAAAGCGAGGACACUGCUUGGUGGGUAGUUUGACUGGGGUGGUCGCCUCCAAAAGCGUAACGGAGGCUUCUAAAGGUGCCCUCAGACCGAUUGGUAACCGGUCGCAGAGUGUAAUGGCAUAAGGGCGCUUGACUGAGAGGACGACAAUCCGAACAGGUAGGAAACUAGAGCAUAGUGAUCCGGCGGUACCGCAUGGAAGGGCCGUCGCUCAAAGGAUAAAAGGUACUCCGGGGAUAACAGGCUGAUCCCUCCCAAGAGCUCAUAUCGACGGAGUGGUUUGGCACCUCGAUGUCGGCUCGUCACAUCCCGGGGCUGGAGAAGGUCCCAAGGGUUAGGCUGUUCGCCUAUUAAAGUGGCACGCGAGCUGGGUUCAGAACGUCGUGAGACAGUUCGGUCUCUAUCUGUUGUGGGCGCGGGAGAUUUGCGGGGAUCCGACACUAGUACGAGAGGACCGUGUUGGACCGACCUCCGGUGAGCCGGUUGUACCGCCAGGUGCACGGCCGGGUAGCCGCGUCGGGGACGGAUAAGUGCUGAAAGCAUCUAAGCACGAAGCCAACCUCAAGAUAAGAUCUCCAUACAGGGCCGUCGAAGACGACGACGUCGAUAGGCUGCAGGUGUAAAGUCAGUGAUGGCAAAGCCGAGCAGUACUAAUUGCCCGAAAGCUUUCAGA